AAAUAAGUUGCAACAAAUAAAGAAGUUGGUCCGAUCUCCAGCAUUUCCCCUGCAACAAGUUCACCGGCGGGUGGUUGAAAGAGAGCAAAUUCAGUUCUCACGCCGCAACCAGUGUGCCCAGCAGCCAAAAUUUCUCCAGCCCGAUAUUAAUUCAGAGGAGAGAUCAAACUGUUUCAAAGUGUAUAAAUUAAGUAACUUCGAACUAUCAAACAAGGCUGGUAAUAAUACAUGCAAGCUUAAGGACGGAAGUAUUAUAAAAAUACAUUAUUUUGAGGAAGGUUCGCCUUCAGUUUUGGUUGGACAAAAGUUUAAAACCAAUGAGGAUUUCCUCAGCUGUCCAUGUUCAUCGUCAUUAAUUGGUGUACAACUUGUGUCCAAUUUAACUAGUCUCAGAAAAUUUGACAUUAAUCUGAUUGAAUUUAAAUGUGUACUUCUUCCGUUUGAUACCAAAUUUGUUUCUUUUCCCUUGAUUCAUAGUCAAAUCCAGUAAAAUUUCAAAAUGCGCUACUCGAUUGUUCAUUUUCUCGACACCGAUGAGGUUGAAAUCACACCCAUAAAUUGGUUGAUGCCUACUAACGACCAAUGUUGGUGGCCCCCAUAUAAGUCUCUGGACCGGCAGGUGAAGGCUGCUAUUGAUGGGGAGGACCCAAACCCAAAUUCGUGGACUUUAUUCAACGUCUCUGUUCUCGAAGAGAGUAAAACAUUUGGUAAGUCUCCUUUUUAUUUCAAGCGGUCGUGGGCAACGAUACAAGAAAUACCCGUUGCAUCGAAGUUCAAGCGAUUCGGAUGGCGAAGAUGUGGAUCUGACUGGGACUAAAAAGAAGCAAAAGUUGUCGCAUUCAACUAAGGUGAAACAAAUACCGCCACCUCCAAAAUAUCUCGUCUUGGUCGGAGAUGCCACGUCGCAUUCUACAUCUCAAGGUCCAGGAGAGGCAAUCAGUCCAAUGUUUGAUGAAGUGACUGAUCAACCCCCACCGAUUAAUUCCCCGCCUUCCCUCCAACAACAAGGCACACCUAGAAUUGCUUCACAUUCACGGCAAGCCCACUCCUCCAUGAUUAGCGUUUGUGAACAUGUCAACCGUCCAAGCAGUAGCCCAAAGAUUGGUCCACCGCCUGGAAACCAAAUUUUGAACAAAUCGCGAGGAUUCAGGACGGGUAACUUGGAAAACCGUGAUGAAAGGGACAAAGACGAAAUUUCUGAGAGAUGAAAAUCGUUCAUCAAAUAUCGCAAAUAAAAACAAUAGUCCAGAAUUUCAGACAUGGAUGGUGCGUCAAGUAAAUAUUAUGAAAGCACAGCUAAGACAAUUACAGGAAAGUGUGGAUGCCAUAAUGAACACUUCUAGUGGAAAACAAGACCGUCCGGUGCAAAAUACUUUUCCUGCAGAUUUAUUACCAAUGGACGACAAUUCCGAUCUGGCAAAGCUUGAGGACUUUAUCAAGGAUUCCAAGGCUACAUUGAUUGUAGAACUUCAAAGAGGCAUAAGUGGGACUAAGAAAUUAUCAAACGUUACGCAGCGGAUCCUAAAGAAAUUGUUGACAGAUAAGCUUGCAUCUUCGUACAAUUGGUUCGAGAAGAGGAAAGUUCCCCUUUUCUAAAUCUUUUAUGAAACAAAUUAUUUUUGAAGCAAUUCAUGGAAAGUUGGAUAACGCUGAUGAUGACGAAAUUGCAGACAUAAUUAAAAACUGGCUAAAGAGUUCCAGCAAGCGUAUUGAUUCUGAAAGGAAACGGUUGGCAAAAUCUGGUGAUACUCUUCCCUCAACAAAUUCUGGAUCGGAAUCCGACGAGUGAUUAAUCCUUAUUUCUAUUAAUCGUUCAAAUUUGUUAUUAAUUGUUUAAUGAGUUAAAAAAUUGAAUAAAUCCAAAACGAGACUCAA